GCAGCGGAAGCCCGGAGCGUUUUCCUUCCGCUGUCUUAGCCGUGCGGGGAGACCGAGACUCUGGAGGAUGGCGGGCUAGAGGGGCAGGAAGUGAGCCCGUCGGCGGAGCCCGCGGAGGCUCUCCGGUCACACAGAUGAUGGUAAACAUGGAGUUAUAACCCUGAGAACAGAGAAGCUUUGGAAGAGUUUAAAUAAAUGAAUGGAUCUGAUGACUAUCACCAGUUCUUUAAAGUUAGGGAUAUAAAUGGCAUCCCACUACUUUUUUCCGGUCAACAAAGAAAAUCAUCCUGUCUUCUCCUGCACAGUUAACAGGAGCUCUGAAGAAAAGCAUUAUCCUUUUGGUGACAGAGGUCUCUAAACCAAAUGAGAGACCUUUGCCUUUCCCAAACUGGGAAUCUUCCUGGAACUCCUGGCUUACAAGGGAUCCAAUGAGAUAGCACAGAAUCGUUUCUUAGAGAUAUAGGUCUACUUCUCCUCAUUCUUUCCGAUGAUCCUGCUGAAUCUGAAGAGUCUCCAGAAG